AUGUACGGCCAUAGCUGAGUGAUAAAAUUUGCAACCCGUUCCUCCGAGAGAUAACCACUCGAGCGCCUGAGUAGUCAGUAGUUGGGCUGGUGACAACUAGUGAACUGCGGGUGCUGUACUUU
rfam:Isaria fumosorosea ARSEF 2679 scaffold_154, whole genome shotgun sequence.